UGGGAGCUUGCUCCGCAGGCGUCGAGCGGCGGACGGGUGAGUAACACGUGGGAAUCUGCCCAUUAGUGGGGGAUAACUCGGGGAAACUCGAGCUAAUACCGCAUAAUCCCUACGGGGGAAAGCAGGGGAUCUUCGGACCUUGCGCUGAUGGAUGAGCCCGCGUCGGAUUAGCUUGUUGGUGGGGUAAUGGCCCACCAAGGCGACGAUCCGUAACUGGUCUGAGAGGAUGGCCAGUCACACCGGGACUGAGACACGGCCCGGACUCCUACGGGAGGCAGCAGUGGGGAAUCUUGGACAAUGGGCGCAAGCCUGAUCCAGCCAUGCCGCGUGUGUGAAGAAGGCCUUCGGGUUGUAAAGCACUUUCAGUAGGGAGGAAGGCUUUGGGCUAAUACCCUGGAGUACUUGACGUUACCUACAGAAGAAGCACCGGCUAAUUUCGUGCCAGCAGCCGCGGUAAUACGAAAGGUGCGAGCGUUAAUCGGAAUUACUGGGCGUAAAGCGCGCGUAGGCGGUGUGUUAAGUCGGAUGUGAAAGCCCAGGGCUCAACCUUGGAAUUGCAUCCGAUACUGGCACGCUAGAGUGCAGUAGAGGGAGGUGGAAUUUCC
rnacentral:rRNA from 1 species